UACAUAAACCAUGUGUAAAAAGAAAAUGUACACAUAGAAAUUUCAACCAAAAAAAAAUCUCCUUUAUUAAUAGAAAAAAAAGCAUUCGAUCGAGAUAUUCCCGUUCUAUGUGUGUGCAAAGUUUCAACGUAGAGGACAGUACGCAAGUAUGUAAUUUGAAAAUUACCCGUUAUUUUUUUUCCCCACUGGCACUGCUGUACGCAUCGGACUUUUGCUGAUUUUCGUUCAUCAAACGUCUCUAAAUCACACCAAAAUGUCUUCCAGCAAUUAUUCUAGCGAUGAAAUUUCAUCAAGAGAUAGUGACUCCUCAUACUCCGAUGCCUCCUUAUCCCAUUUUAGUGAUUCUUCCCAAGAAAAUGAGCCCGACAAAUGUUCAAAAUAUUACUAGAUCUAGUCCCACUCGUAGAGAAAUGAGUUUGUUGUCGAAUGACGGAACAUCGACGAGCGGAACUGGCCCCAGAAAACAGCUGAAAAGGAAUCAGAAAACACAACCUGCAAAGCACCACGCAAGAAGAAGAGCAAGUCUUCCAAGUCCGAGAGUGCAUGUGUCUGCGAGAUCCAUUGAAACUAAUCAAGCUACAAUGUACAUGUAACGUACAACCACCAUUCGAUGCCUGUGAACAGCAUGACCAACAUCUGUAUCCUUUACAUUAGUAUUUGUUUCCAUUUUAUUAUGUAAUUAUUAUGUCUAAUCAUUGAGAUUCAUAGGCAAGUACAACAUGUAUGUGUACACAAUGAGUGCCUGCAUAUUGUGAAGAUAAAGGACCAUAAGACCAUUACUUAUGAUACAUGGUAAUGAUGGUAGGCCUAUACUUUGUAAAACUAUUUGAAAAUAGUAGCAUGUAAGUCUGUCAUUUUCUUGUUUAUAUAUAUCUCAAUGACAUGACAUGUCAUUGAUUUUGUAGUAAGUGUUUCUAGAUUAUGAUGAUUGUAUUAAAAUUUUGACAGUUCAAUUGAGAUUGAGAAAAUUAUGUAACAUGUCAACUGUACUAUAGAGCAUGCAUGCAUUGUUGAAAAAUCUGUUUCAUGAUUUAUUUUAUUUUGUUAUCUUUGUAAAUAACGAGAAAAAAAAAAUUAUUUGUCAUGAUUUUCUUGAGGUUUGAAAAUGUGAUUACAUUAUUAAGAGCACUUUGCAAUUAAAUUGUAAUAAAAGAGACAGAAAACAACACUCUCAUGUCCAGAAUACUGCUUUAUUUGGUUACUAGUGAGGAGAGAGCUUGUGAUCGCCUGGCAUAUCCACAUCGGCUCAGUAAUAGUCCUGAAACUCACCUGAAUACUUUAUUUGAACAAAAAUAGAAAGCUACAUUCAAGGUGGAUGAUAUUUUUUUAAGGCGGAGGCAUAUAGGAGACGCAGUCGCAUUUGUCUUGUUUUUUUUUUAGAGUAUAAUCAUAGCAAACCAUGAACAACUCUAUUACUACAACAUGUACACUACAAUACUUAACCAAAGAUUGUAAAUAUCAGUUAAGUUCUUUUAUUUAUUUGCUUAUAUGAACACACAUACUAUACUAAACUCAUGUCAUUGUGUUUACCUCUCGAAAAUAAAGUACAUGUAUUUUAUUUGACACAUUCCCUUUUAUUAUUUUUGUUUGUUACAGUCCACUGCCAUUAUAACGAGGUGCUCGGGACCAAGCCAAUUUCCUUGUUAAAAUGAAAUCAUGUUAUACUCAAGUUACUGAACACAUUGGUUUGUUUAAAAUUGGGACUGAUGAGAAUUGCCUGAUAAUAAAAUCUUGGUGUAUCCAUGUUCGUUAUAAUAGGAGUGGACUGUAUAA
rnacentral:lncRNA from 1 species